AUUUACGAUAGUUUAAAUUAAAGAAUGAUAAUUUGUGGUAUUAUUGGUGAAAUUUAUUUCUCUAAAUC
rnacentral:tRNA from 1 species